rnacentral:rRNA from 1 species
AUGCCACAACCUGAUCCAAACAGUGUAGAAAAAUGGAAAUAUGACCCCGACAGAGCACAUUGGGAGUUGAUGAGGAUGAUUGUCGUUCAUGAAUUGCCAUUCUCCAUAGUGGAAUAUGAUGGGUUUAGGCGAUUCAUGCAUAGUCUGAAUCCAACAUUUGAGGUGGUGUCUAGGACGACAAUAACACUUGAUUGCCUCCUUCUAUUUGAUGAACAA